rnacentral:tRNA from 2 species
GCACCAUUCGUCUAGCGGUCUAGGACACGGCCCUUUCACGGUCGUAACACGAGUUCAAAUCUCGUAUGGUGUACCA